rnacentral:tRNA from 1 species
GGCGGCGUAGCUCAGCUGGCCAGAGCACUCGGUUCAUACCCGGACGGUCGUAAGUUCAAAUCUUACCGCCGCUACCA